UACGAAGGGGGGCUAGCGUUGUUCGGAAUUACUGGGCGUAAAGCGUAUGCAGGCGGACUUUUAAGUCGGGGGUGAAAUCCCGAGGCUCAACCUCGGAACUGCCUUCGAUACUGGAAGUCUUGAGUCCGGGAGAGGUGAGUGGAACUCCGAGUGUAGAGGUGAAAUUCGUAGAUAUUCGGAAGAACACCAGUGGCGAAGGCGGCUCACUGGCCCGGUACUGACGCUGAGAUACGAAAGCGUGGGGAGCAAACAGG
rnacentral:rRNA from 1 species